CUUCGGUCGUCUAUUUAACGACUCAAUUCAACACCUCUUCGCACGCGAGAUAAGACACUUCGGCGCCGUUGCAGAGGGAGCAGGAUAUGAAGAGGGAUUUCCUGCUGAAAAUCGGGAUGGGGCAUCCAUUUUGAAUAGGAAUUUGGCUAUAGUAGGCAUUACAAGAGUGCUUAAUGGACCAUCACCAUAGAAGCCAAGCUAUUAACAGUACUAUAUUUGGUAUUUUAUAUUUAAUAGUAGAUUAUUAUAUAUUUGGUUUAAGGGUUGGGUAGUUCUUUUAUGUCAUUUGUUUCAUUUGCAUUUCUGUUAUUUGUAUCAGUACUAUUAUUUUGGUGUAUUGUUAUUUGAAUUCAUAUUAAUGAAAUGAAUAUUUAAUUGUCCUUCUAUUAUUUA